UUUUUUUAUAAAAUAAGUACUUUAAUUUUUUUUUUAAAUUGAUAAUGUUGUUGGAUAUAUGCCCUAAAGCCAAUCAUAAAUGAUAUUUUACGGACAUUUUACAUGUUUUUUUUUUUUUGUCAAACGGUAGAUUUUGCUAGAUUAGGUGUUAGAUUAGCCACCGACGGGGUUGAACUCACGCCGUCAUGCAAAAGCUCAACAUCUUUCCACCACUGUGGUAAAGGGUUACUUUAAGACAUUUUACAUGUUAAAAUAAACUAGUUUAAUAUAAGGGCAAAAAUUAUUGUAUAAAGCCCUUUCAUUAAUGUUAUAUGCUUAAACAAUAAGUCCAUGGAAUAUGUAAUUAGGAGAAUGUGUUCUUAAGAAGUUAGAUUCAUGAGACCAUUCUCUUUCAUACACAUAUUCUAAACAUUCAUGGUCAUAUGAUUGCCAAUUCGACAUUGACGAUCCUUAGAUCAGUACAUGUUAUGUCUUCUCUCCAGGAAAGUGACUCGUCUUAAGUCAUUGAUAUGAAUGACAACAAGACAAGUAUGUAAGUGCUCACUAGAGAGUGAGUCCACUAAACAUGAUGAAGAUGAGUUCUCACACUCAUUUCACAUGAGAAUUCAUAGUUGAGAUAAUGCAAAGUAGACCUUUGACCUGAGACAUCAUAGUUGUCUUGUGGUUUGGUCCCUAGCCUUUGACUAUGUUAAAGGCAUACCAUUUGAGGAUUUCCACGACAUAGUUGGGGUUAAGCUACUUAAUCAUAGGGGCAUGUGAAUGUGCAACAAAAGAUCUCUAACCUUGAAAUCAUUGAGGGAGAAUACUCUAUAACAUGAAAGAAUCUCUAGCCAGAGUAUGAAUGAGAUUUAAGAAGUCGUUCCAAAUCAUAUUCAAGGUAAUCAUAUAAUUAAGAGAAUCUUGUUGAAUAAUAGACAUGAAUAAACUAUCAAACCAAACAAUGUGAUUAAUAGUAAUUAGAAAAAGACAGUAUUGCAUAUGUAAUCCCAAAUCCCAAACUGAAUAGGUUCUCCAACCACUUCUGAUUAGCUUGGGUAACCAUGACAUGCUGCUAGGUGUCACUCAUGGCCUAUGGAAGCCUUGAAGAUGUAUAUUGAAAUUGGUACCAGGUAGUAUAUCCUGCAAUUUAAAAUUUGAUAUAUGCUUGACUGACUAGUCAGCAUCACUAGUGAACGAAGAUUAGAUUUGUUAGUUUACCAAAAUUGAAAAUAAACAACUGUACCUGGUUUACUAACAUAAUUCUAGUUAACAAGGGUUUAGUUCAAUGUAUUUUUAAACUUUAUUAAACUUAGUUGACAACACAUGUCAACUUGCAAAUCCUAGAGUCAAUGUGUAACAUAUACAAACUAACAAGAUAUGUGAGCAAGAACAACAAUAAUCAACACAAGGAAUUUUUGGCCCGAAAAACUCACCUUUGGGUUAAAACUCACCAUUGAGUCCAAUCGACUAGUGUAGACAAAAGUUCAUAAAAAAUCCACAGAAAGCUCAAUUCCUAAAACCUUAUCUAUGGAGAAGCUUUACCUUUGUGCAACCUUGCCUUACACAAGAUGAACUCCUAUGGUCUUCACGAAGUGGCAACUCCUCCUGAGCUCAUCACCUUGUGGCAUCGAGAAUUAGUUACUAACAACCAUAAACAAAAUAUUAUUAAAAACAAUGAUAGAAAACACCUUGAAAAUAAACUUCAAAAAUCCUCUAAAGUAGUGUGUGUGUUUCCUCCACUCUUCUCCUCCUUAACCCUAAUGGCUAAAUAUCUUAUUUAUACUACCACAAAAUAAAACCCUAAAAGGUCUUAGAAUAAAACUAGGAAACAUAAUAAAAUAAUAAAACAGAAAAUAAAAGGUUUCUUAUUUGAACUAAAAUUUGGACUUUUCAGAAAAUCACACUUUUGACCAACCAAAUUAACUCUGAUUUGGUCCCAAAAGGUCUCUGUUGAAAGCUAGAGACGUUCCCUACAAAUCCUCAAAAGGAAUCUUCCUCAAAAUAUGCCAUCUUGACCUCCAAAAUACCCAAAACGUCUAGAAACGUCAAUCUGGGAAAGCUACACGUUGGGCCUUAAUUUCAUCACCACAGUCAAACAGCUUCAUAGAAAACUUCUGACACAAUCAUCUUGAAGGGCACACGAACAUCCUCCAAUUGGAAUCACUCCAAAAUUCAUUCGUUUGGUCACUUUUUGCUUCAGAGGAAGUCGAAUGUCCUACAUUAAGAAUAUAAAUCAAAGUGUCAAAAUUCUACCAAAAUAACAAAUAAAUUAAUACUAAGAAUAGGGUAAAAUAUAUAGUAAAAUAUCGACUCAUCAUUGGUCAUGCUUCAAUCGGAGAUAGAGAACUUGUUGGGCUUAAUGGGAUUAUGCCAAACUUCCUCUUGACCAUGCCGUUUCUGGGACAACAAUUAUGUAGCUUCCUUUAGGAUUUUUUGCAAAACAGAAAAAGCACCGAGACUAUGCUUGAAAGACUAGGGAAUGGGUUUAGAGGCCUUGGGUUGUCCUGAUUGCUUUUUUAUUUAUUUUUAUAUAUUUUUUAACGAUAAUUGUUUUUAUUUUUCCUUUUUUUUUAAAUAUUUUUUUUACUUUGCUUUUUCUUUUGAUAAUUAUUUAUCUACAGGUGAAGUCACCAGCUCCGAGCGGGGCUAUAUCAGAUGGAGUAGCAGUGCCACCAUCGCUCUACUCUAAGGCACUAGGCAGAGUCCUAGCGACUUCGCUGGAUGACCAUGCUUGUUCUGCAAGACACGCUAUUUGAUCGGGAUAUAGACACAAUCAGAUUGAAGGAAAUUUUGUGAAAAACAUGUUCAUUUGAAUAACAUCUAUAGCAUGCAAUUAACAAUUAAAAGGCGGAAUCAUGUUUGUAUGCACUCAAAAACAAAACAUUACCCAUGAAAUUCAAAGCCUAGUAGAUUGGUGAACCUUGACUCAACUUAAAACAACAUUUGUUAGUUGAGAAAUUAUACCUUUGUAGAUUCCUCUUUGCAUAAGCAAAGGCUAAUCACCCAAAGAGAGGACCUUCAUUCCUUGCAUCUUAGAUCUAUGAAUUUGGAUGGAUGAAAUGGUUCUCCAAGUUCCCAAAAUUGAGAACCUCUAAGUCUCUUCA
rnacentral:lncRNA from 1 species